rnacentral:lncRNA from 1 species
UUUGGCAUAGAAGAACCUUUCAGCCGUCAGGGCUCUAUGCAGCUCGAGUUGAUAUGCAGGGCUUCAUCCCGGUAUUAGAUUGCUGAAUUUAUGGAGCUUUUGUUUAUAUGCUUUUUGAGUUGUACUGCUAGCGAUGUACUUGCUUGCAACAAUGCAGGGACUGCAUGCUAUUUUCACUGGAGAAGAUGAUACUUGGGAAGCCUGGCUUAAUGCUGAUGCCUCUGGUUUCUCAGGUGCUAUAGGAUUUGGGGGGAAUGGUGUUAAGCUAAGGCGUGGAUAUGCUCUUCCUCAGUCCCCGAAACCAACACAGGCACUCAUUUUCUUACUAUCAAAUUUAAUACUUCUGUCUGUUCUCUUCGUUCUGAUAUGAAGUUACUAGUGUUGGUUUCCUUUUUACUGGUUUGUUCUCAUCUUCAUAGCGUCUUCUUUCUUUGAGUGGACAUAGAGGGGGAGACCUCAUAUGGUCUCCUUAUAUAGUCUUGGAUUGGCAAUUCUCCCCUCAUGGGAUAGCUUUUGGGGUUGAGUUAGCCCAAGGUCCAUUUCUUCGCUAUAAGGAAGUUGUUUAUAUGCCUUCUGCUCUAAAGAUGAUUAAGAGUGAAGAUUGGCUUUUGGUCCAUUAAGGGGCUUGAUAUUGGGGAUUUAAUCUGUUUUCUCUUGUUCCUCCUUGCUGAAAUUGAACUCCUGUAUCUGUUUCUUUUAGGACGAAGUACGUCAACAGAAGGAGGAAGAAAUGGAUGAUUACUGCUCACAGGU